GACUGCACGCGCGCCCGCAUAUAUGUUUGUAUGUAUACUCCGAAAAAUCAACAACAAUGCAAAAGUGCAAAAGAUGAGGCGAAGACAACGAGAGCAGAAUUAUAACAGAGCUAUGCAAAAGCACCGAAAAGCACCAGAUUUUCACAGAGAUUUUCUCCCACAGGAUGUGUGCUGUGCCAGAGUGUAGAUACAAAUGGGCGAAAGUAGUAAGGAUACGACAUUUCUGCGCAAAGCACGCACUUAAAAUAACAGUAACAGCGUGAGUGUUUGUUUGGUGGCACAAGCAGUAGUAGUGAAAUUUUCGCAGUCUACUGGUGCAGUUGUGAUGGGAAGGAAAUGUGUGCUAAAUAAAUGGGAGGAAAAAUUUGUGUAUAAAAAAUAGAACGUUGCCAAUAAGAGUUGUCAAAAGUAAUUCGCGCUAAAGUCACAGUUGAAUUGGAGUUGGUAGAGGAGUUGGAGCGCUUCUAGUGAUAACAAGAAUUGUGCAAGCGCACAGAAAGUGAAAAAUUUGGUUGUCGCAAAUUGCUAAGCUAAGUGCAAAUAUGUGUCGCAUCUAAUGCUUUUGCGGUCGUUGCGCUGGAAUAAUAGGGUGUAACCACUUCGUCAUUGAUUUGUGAAAAUCGACCAGAAUCUGUGUGUUUAUAUGUUGGUGCCACGAUGGAGACAUGCAGAACCUGUGCGAGAUGUGAUUUUGAGGACGAAACCAAAUGGUUCAAUUUGUUCCACACAACGCGCUGUAAACGUGAAAUCGAAGAAAUGCGUGUGGAGUUCAAUAACUGGCAAUUGCAGAUCUCACCCAACGACGGCCUGCCGCAGAAGAUCUGCUCCGAUUGUUUUUCAAAAUUUUGCAAUGUGUUCACAUUUCGUCUGCAAUGCCAGCAAGCGCAAGUGAAAUUAAAUAAUAUUUUCGAUAAAAUCGAAACGCAAAGCAUGGAUGACGACCGAUUUGAUGAUAAUCUGGAAGAAUUAAGUGCACAACUGCUGCGGAUUGUAGAAGAAAACGCACGGCAAAUGACGAAUUCAACGAGUAACGAAGAAAACUGCCAAGCAGAUGAUUGUGCUGCCGCUGCCGUUGACGAUGUUGUUUCGGCGAAUGCUACCCCUUCAGCUGCUGCUAUUGUGAUGUUGGAUAUGCUUGAUGAAAAUAGUACUAAUAACUACUCCGCCGUGUCCGCCUCCGCCGCCGGUGGAGAGUGCGGAAAAGACGGUGCACAGCUGGUUGAUGCAGUUUCAUCAGGUCAAACCGAGGUUUCAACUAAAACAAUCGAAGACACCGUCUUAGCAAAAACAAUGCCUAUAACAAAUGAGAAUACCGCAAUCGCUGCCGCUAUAACACAAACUAACUUUUACACUGCCGGCGUUGAAUGUCAAAGUGAAGCGGAAAUGCAUGUGACAAAUGUGACGACUGAUACCGUUGCACCAAUGACGGUCCACAAAGAGGACGUAAAGGAAUUAGUAGAAGAAGGAAACAAAGUCGAGACCGAAGUAGAAGUAGAAGAAGAUGAUGAUGUCGUCCAAGGUGAAGUGAAUGUAAACGAGCAAAUUCAUUUGCAUGUCGAUGAUAUAAUUGAGGAAGAUUUCACACUCGACGAAACACUUGCGGAGGAGAAAGAGGAAGCGGAGGAAACAGCGGUAACUACAGCCGGACUGUUGGACCAUGACACUGCUCAUACUGACUGCAUUGUAACCGAUAUAAGCGAAGAUCUGGCACAGUCUGAAGGUUAUGCCGAAGAAAGUGUGCCUUUUGCGGAUGCCGUUGAAGAUGAAGACGAUGAUUAUGAUGAGGAUGAAGGUGUGUUGGAAGCAUUCGAACCGGUUACACUUUCAACGAAUACCUAUAAUACAAACAACAACACCAUAUUAGCAUCACAAUAUGUCUUUCAAAUGUCUGCCAUCAACAAUUGCUACAACACAACACUGGGCCAACAACAGGAAGUCAGCAUUGUUUUCGAGUGUAAAUACUGCCUGAAAACUAAAGAUAUGCCAAGUACGCAUUUUGAGACACAACAGGCUCUACUCGAGCACAUAACCAAUACACACGAUGCUGAAUACCCAUUUACAUGCCCACAACGCGGUUGCGCAGAGGGUUUUCGCGACGCCGCCUCACGCACGGUUCACAUGAAAAGCGAACAUGUGGCCAAACAUUAUGAGUGUGAUGUGUGCGGCAAAAAGUAUGCCGAUCGCUUCAAUUUGCGGCAUCACAAUGAGAAGUUCCACAGCGAGACGGAUUUUGGCUGUGACACAUGUGGCAAGCGCUUCUAUUCGCGUAAAAGUCUUAACUAUCAUAUGAAAUGGCAUAAUCCGGAAUUGUUGUUGCAGUGUAGCCAAUGCGAUCGGCUGUUCAUCAAUCAGCGGCAUUUGAAGUGUCACGAAGAGACGCACAACGGGGUGAGGAAUAGUGAACCCUGUACCUUUUGUGGAAAAACUUUCAUACAUUUGAAAACUUUACGUUGGCAUUUGUAUCGGCAACAUGGCGGUGAAAAACCAUACAAGUGCGGCCAUUGCACUGAGGUUUUCGCCUCUUAUUUGGAGAAACGCAUUCACAUGUUGGAUAAUCAUUUGGAAAACCUCACCACCAUCGAACGAACCGAAUGUAUGCUCUGUCGCCAACGCUACGAAGAUGAACACGAGUUAAGCGAACAUAUACGCAACAAACAUAUUGAACGCCCAAAAUCAUCGGUGUUGCUCAUAGCCAACAAUAAGCGAGUGGUGCGUAAUAAACGGCAAAAACACUAUAGUGGCAUCUUUCAGUGUGAAAUUUGCGCGCAGCGCUUCAAUAUGAAGUCAGCAUUGGAACGACAUGCGGCAGUACAUUCGAGCAUUGGACGACCUCACAAAUGUCCGGUUGAGUCGUGUGCGAAACGUUUCAAGCGUGCACAGGAUAUGAAUUGGCACAUGAAGACGCAUUCGAAUGAGAAGCCGAAUGUGUGCGAUGUGUGUGGCAAGGGGUUCGCGCUUAAAUAUGUGCUGAAUCAACACAAGCGGAGUCAUGAAGUUCUUGAGAAGAAUUUCAAAUGUAUGAUCUGUGGACGUGCCUAUCUCUUCGAGAAAUCACUUCGUGUGCACGAGCGUGUACAUACUGGCGAAACUUAUUACCGUUGCGAUCUGUGUGGCGAAAAUUUCGUAACACAUAUGAAAUUCAAAACUCAUAUGAUGAAAAAACAUGACCCGAAUACAACAAAUUUAGACGAGCACAAUAUUGACGUUUUUGAUGAGCAGCUGCGUGAACCUUAGAAGUCUAACGAAAGUCAAAAGCUUACAUUUUAGGGAAUAUUAUUUGCCUAUAGGAGUUUGAGAAAUUGUAAAGAUGGAUUUUUUAAACAUUGCUCUUUUCUGCGAAAAUUCGAUACACCGUAUAUACAAUAUUUUGAAUUGGUAUCGAAAUACUAUUUACAUUUAUCUAUAAAUGUAAACAUGCAUACAAGAACAUUUGGCGUUAAAUUAAAUUAAAAUGAAUCGGUAAUUUUGAGUUUAAUACUUUAAUAAUUAAAGUUUAUCCUACAUUUUUCGAAAAAAGUCAACCGCAGUCGAUAGCUUUAGUUCCGAAUGUUGACGCCUUAAAUGAAGAUACAACUUAAUGGCACAUAAUCAUAGUCGAAAAUAAUCCCGUUAUCAUAUUUAUUGGGUAUGGGAAUAGGUUUGCGUCCUAUAUAUGCGUUUGCGAUAUAUAUAUAUAUGUACAUAUAUAUUCUUGUGAACACAGGUGUAUAUAAAUAUAUUAUUCGAAAUUUAUUUACUUUUUGCUCUUCUACCGUUUUUAAUUUUCAAAGCUAACAGGAAAACUAAAACAUUUUAAUGUAAAUUUAUAAUCACACAUUUGUCAGAUUUAUCAGAAUAUAAUAGUUCUAAACCUUUUUUUCUAUAUUCGUAUACUGAAAUCUCUUAGGCAAAAGUGUUUAUGUUGAAUAUUUAAGAAAUCCAUAUAUAUUAAAUAACUCCCAAUAAUACUGGCCAACAAGAAAUUUACCAGAAACCAGAGUAUACUUUUUCCAACAAAAUUCUAAUAAAAUACUAAGCGACGGUUUGAUGAAAAUUUUAAAAUUUUAGAAAUUUAAAUAUUUAAAAAAAUGUUAACUGCGCUAUCUUGGAAACUUAAGGGUUUUCACAAGAAGAAUAUAUUACUUGUACUUUGAAAUGUGGUGUAUGGUUUUUUUACAAAAACAAAAAAAAAAUUGCCACAUAACCUCAAAUAUGUGUAAGCUAAAACUGCGUUUCUUGCACGUUUAGGUAAAAUAGUUUCAAACAUCACGGAAACCCGGGCCACCUGAGCAAUUAUGAUUUGAAUUCAGCACGUCGAAACCUUGGGAAAAAUAUAUGUAUAAUUACUUGGUUUCUGGUAAAAUAUUUUCGGUUAAUUCUGUACGUGCAAUGGCUCAAAGAGAGAACCAGAUAGCGGAUAUGCAAAAUAACAUAGAGAACCAUUUGAACUGUUUUCCAUUAAAGGAAUAUAAAGAGAAAUUGCUUAUAGAGAGAUAAGAAGAGGAAAUGCUCAAAUACAAUAAUACGCACAUUAUGGCUCACCGUUGACGAAAGCAGUAGCAGAAAUUUAUGUAUAAAUACGAAAUGAGUAAAUAAAAAUCAAUAACAAUUAUGUAUAUUAUAUAGGAUAUAAAUGAAAAAUAUAACAUGAACAACUGCUUAUGUAUACUUACACAUACACCUAUAGACUAAGGGCAACUACUUUGAUGACUGCUCAAUUUUUUUAGGUACUGUAUUAAAUAAUUUAGUGAAACGCAUUUAUUGUAUGUAAUGCAAUUGUUUAGAUAAUUGUAAUUUUAUAAAGAAUGAAAAUUAAUAGCAAUAUUUUGUAGCAGUAGUUGAUGAAUUUUGGUGGUGAUAAUGAAGCACUGAAAAGAUAUUAUGCAUAGUUUUUAACCAAAUACUGGCGUAACUACAACAUUUGGGGCCCGUGGCAAAUUCUUAUGAUGGGGCCCUAUCGAUAAAAAUCGACACGUUGUACUCAGUUUGAUUAAAAGAAACAAAUUUUAUUUCAACAGUUCAUUUUAAUAAACAAAACAACAAUUUAAUUUCAACUAGUAUGUAACCCCCGAAAAUCGGGUGGGCUUUUUUCCCACGGAAAGUAAACAGCAU